ACCUGCGUGCUGUAGUGGUCAGCACGCUCGACGCGUAACCGAGAGGUCCGUGGUUCGAUUCCCGGCGAAGGCG
rnacentral:tRNA from 1 species